rnacentral:piRNA from 2 species
UACUUUGCAGUCUGUGUUCUCCUUUAUUC